CCCGAGCGUUAUUCGGAAUCACUGGGCUUAAAGCGUCCGCAGGCGGGUUCGCAGGCGUCUCGGGAAUCCCACGGCUCAACCGUGGAACUGCGGGGCGAACCGCGCACCUUGAGGUAGGUAGGGGUCAUCGGAACGUACGGUGGAGCGGUGAAAUGCAUAGAUAUCGUACGGAACGCCGAAGGUGUAGACAGGUGACUGGGCCUAUUCUGACGCUCAUGGACGAAAGCGUGGGGAUCAAACAGGAUUAGAUACCCUGGUAGUCCACGCCGUAAACGAUGCGCACUAAGUCGGUGUCCCUUCGACGGGUUGCCGGCCGGAGAGAAAUUAUUAAGUGCGCCGCCUGGGGAGUACGGUCGCAAGGCUAAAACUCAAAGGAAUUGACGGGGGCUCACACAAGCGGUGGAGCAUGUUGCUUAAUUCGAAGCAACGCGAAGAACCUUACCUGGGCUUGACAUGCACGGAUUAGCUCUUGGAAACAUGAGUGACGCCCUCGGGUGGAACGUGCACAGGUGCUGCAUGGCUGUCGUCAGCUCGUGCUGUGAAGUGUUGGGUUAAGUCCUUUAACGAGCGCAACCCUUGUCGCUAGUUGCCAGCGAGUAAUGUCGGGGACUCUAGCGAGACUGCCGGUGUCAAACCGGAGGAAGGUGGGGAUGACGUCAAGUCCUCAUGGCCCUUACGCCCAGGGAUGCAAACGUGCUACAAUGGCAGAUACAGAGCGACGCAAGACCGCGAGGUGGAGCAAAUCGCAAAAAGUCUGCCCCAGUUCGGAUUGCAGUCUGCAACUCGACUGCAUGAAGUUGGAAUCGCUAGUAAUCGGAGAUCAGCUACGCUCCGGUGAUACGUUCCUGAGCAUUGACACACCGCCCGUCAAGUCAUGGAAGCUGGUAGUGCCCGAAGUCGCCUCACCUNCAGGGGUGCCCACGGCAAGAUCGGUGACUGGGACUAAGUCGUCACAAGUAACC
rnacentral:rRNA from 1 species